rnacentral:tRNA from 1 species
GCCGAUGUAGCUCAGCCGGCAGAGCAACGCAUUCGUAAUGCGUGGGUCGGCGGUUCGAAUCCGCCCAUCGGCUCCA